UAGGGAAUCUUCCGCAAUGGACGCAAGUCUGACGGAGCAACGCCGCGUGAGUGAAGAAGGAUUUCGGUUCGUAAAACUCUGUUGUUAGAGAAGAACAGCGCAUAGAGUAACUGUUAUGCGUGUGACGGUAUCUAACCAGAAAGCCACGGCUAACUACGUGCCAGCAGCCGCGGUAAUACGUAGGUGGCAAGCGUUGCCCGGAUUUAUUGGGCGUAAAGCGAGCGCAGGCGGUCAAUUAAGUCUGAUGUGAAAGCCCCCGGCUCAACCGGGGAGGGUCAUUGGAAACUGGUUGCCUUGAGUGCAGAAGAGGGGAGUGGAAUUCCAUGUGUAGCGGUGAAAUGCGUAGAUAUAUGGAGGAACACCGAUGGCGAAAGCGGCUCUCUGGUCUGUAACUGACGCUGAGGCUCGAAAGCGUGGGGAGCGAACAGG
rnacentral:rRNA from 1 species